rnacentral:lncRNA from 1 species
UGGGUGUUCAUGGCUGCAGGAUGACUCUGAUGUCGGAGACUUUUCUUUGGCGACAUUGUGUUUAAGUUAGAACUGUUCCUUGACAUUACUUUGUCUGCACGCAAAAAAGAAUUAACCAGGAUUAAAAAAAAUUACUAAACAAGAUAAUUAAAGGAGAUAAAGAAAGGAGAUCUGACCGUGGUUGAGAACAAAUGUGACGGGAAACCUUCUGGGCGGAC